rnacentral:rRNA from 1 species
UACGUAGGCAGCAAGCGUUGUUCGGAGUUACUGGGCGUAAAGGGUGUGUAGGCGGUUGGAUAAGUGUGGUGUGAAAUCUCCCGGCUCAACUGGGAGGGUGCGCUACAAACUGUCUGACUAGAGUGUGGGAUGGGUAAGUGGAAUUCCUGGUGUAGCGGUGAAAUGCGUAGAUAUGACAUAGAACACCCAUUGCGAAGGCAGCUUACUACGCAUAUAUUGACGCUGAGGCACGAAAGCGUGGGGAUCAAACAGG